AUGCUCAAGGAGGAAAUUCUGGAGCUCCAGAAGCAAUUGCGCGUCAAGCGUGAUGCUGCAGUCAGCCAGCUGAAGCAUCAAACUGAGAGCAUGAAGUUGCUGGAAAGAGACAUCUAUGAGAUCAACAGAAAACUUGACAUUGUGAACACCGAGAACUGCAGAAUCAAAUCAUGCAAUGCGCAGAUGAAAGAAGAUAUCUUGGCAAUGAAUUCUGAAGCAGAAUGCCUCCAGUCAGCAAUAGUGAAAAUUCAGAACGACCUGGCAGUGCUUCGUGGUUUUCUUCUGGAGAGAUGGUCAGAGGACAGCUCUAUUCAGAAGGAAUUUCUGGAGAACGAGCAGGAAAUUCUGAACGCAGUGACAGCCCUGCUAAGGAAAAUCCAGCAUCGGGAGGAGAAGAUUGGAGACAUUAACAGCAGGCUACGGAAUAGCCUAGAAGGGCUGGAUUCUCUGUUUGAAAAAAAGUCUAGAUUGGAUGGUGAGGAAUCAGAUGCAGUGAAGAAUAAAUGAGGAAAUGCUCAGGAUACUUUUUGGAAGCCAGAAGCCAGCACAUGGGAUGAGAAAACCAAUGCUAUGUUUCAUUCAAGCCCUCCUCACUGGAAUCAUCCUGUCUUGUUCUACUCAAACACCACCUAAAAUAUUAUAUUAGAAAAUAAAUACAAGCAAAAUACUGUACAAGAACGUGUCUGAAGCUUUUAUGCAGAUUCACAAUGAUAAAUACAGACAAUUCCCUUCAUCUAUACUAGAUACUGGCUUCUUCAUAGAAGCAAAGGUUUUUAAUAAUACAGUCUCAUUCAGAAGUGUUUCACCUGUAAGCCCUGUACACAGAUAACUUCUUUUAAAACAGAAGCUUUCAAAUGCAUAACAAGCACUCAACCUGUUUAAUCCAGAUCAUCAGGACAGCACUGUUGGCACAAAAUCCUUUUAAUGUCCAUUUCCACCUUCUGAGAGUAUGCGUGACGGCUCGGUGUACUUUGCUGUCAUCAAGUAGAAGAUGGCAGGUGCAGGCACCAAGGCAAGUAAUGGGAGGUCUUGCUCAAGCUUGUCCAGUUUGGGAAUGGAGAUGAUUCCAUAGGCAUGAAGCAGCCAGUGGCUGAAGAGGACAACAAGCCUUUUCUUCCUGACAAGAAGAUCCUUGAAAGACUGGCAAAAUACACACAGUAUUCUGUUAGCAUGAGGUACCUGAUAUUUGAGACACAUCACAGGUCACACAGACACUGCAUGAAGCCUUCCGGAUUUAAGGCCUUCCAGCACAAAGCAGUUCCUCAGUACACCACAAGAGGGAACUCUCAUAGUAACCUCUUCCAGCUAAGAGAAGUCAAAGCAAGCAGCUUAUAACACACUACUGAGAAAAUUCAAGAGAGUGUGGUCUUUAAUCCUUCAAGUAUUUUAUGAUGAGUUUCAAUAUGGAAAACACGUUUACCUACCUCCACUUCAGAAGCAGACAAGUACACAGCCAAUGUAACCAGAGACAACACCAGUAUGAUGUAUGGGAAGGCAUAAUCUGGAGGCAAACAGUAACCGGUUAGUUAGUAGGAAAAAAAAAUGCAACAUGAUACAUUUCAGCAGAGAUUCCUCCAUAUAACCAAAGGGUGCAGAGUACACUAAGCUCACCUAUUACCAUCACAUNGGUGAUUUAGACUGGAUAUAAGGAAAAGGUUUUUUACAGUAAGGGUCAGUGAGGGGAUGGGGGCAUGAGGUGGUGGGGAUGUGAGGGGAUGGAGAAAAGAGGCUGUGCUGGUGGAGGGGAGAGGAGGCGCAAGGGAAGAGCCUUGAGGAGGGGAUGGGGGUCUGUGGGGAGAAUGGGGCUAUGAGGGAGGAGAAGUCGCGAUAGAACCUCUGUGAGCAGAAAGGCGACGUGCGGGGAGAACACGCACCGCGCCGAAGCACCAAGCGCUGAAGGGGCACCGCGCUGCGGCUGUUCCCGCC
rnacentral:lncRNA from 1 species